GGAUGCCAUCAGAAACAUCUGCACCCUCUCAACAUGACAACUCGUGCCCAACCAGAAGUUCUCAUGCCUCCAACCAAUUUCACAUGCCCAUUUGGAAACUUGGGAUGCAUGGCAAACAUCGAAAAAAAGUCUAAGAGUUGCUUCGCGCAGAAAGACUCUUCGAAGAAAUUUUUUUCAUUAUUUUUCGAUGCAUCGCAAGGCUUCCCUUGGCGGCAUUUUUUUCCACCCU
rnacentral:lncRNA from 1 species